GCCGCCCUAACUCAAUGGUAGAGUAACUCUUUUGUAAAGAGUAAGUUGGAGGUUCAAGCCCUCUGGGCGGCU
rfam:Candidatus Roizmanbacteria bacterium RIFCSPHIGHO2_12_FTLL_41_11 rifcsphigho2_12_scaffold_8069, whole genome shotgun sequence.